rnacentral:rRNA from 1 species
CAGUCGCCACGGUAAUACAGAGGGUGCAAGCGUUAAUAGGAAUUACUGGGCGUAAAGCGCGCGUAGGUGGUUUGUUAAGUUGGAUGUGAAAUCCCCGGGCUCAACCUGGGAACUGCAUCCAAAACUGGCAAGCUAGAGUAUGGUAGAGGGUGGUGGAAUUUCCUGUGUAGCGGUGAAAUGCGUAGAUAUAGGAAGGAACACCAGUGGCGAAGGCGACCACCUGGACUGAUACUGACACUGAGGUGCGAAAGCGUGGGGAGCAAACAGGAUUAGAUACCCCAGUAGUCCCUGUCUCUUAUAC